UACGGGGGGAGCAAGCGUUGUUCGGAUUUACUUGGCGUAAAGGGCGCGUAGGCGGCCAGCACAAGUCAGUUGUGAAAUCUCCGGGCUUAACUCGGAAAGGUCAACUGAUACUGUGCGGCUAGAGUGCAGAAGGGGCAACUGGAAUUCUCGGUGUAGCGGUGAAAUGCGCAGAUAUCGAGAGGAACACCUGCGGCGAAGGCGGGUUGCUGGGCUGACACUGACGCUGAUGCGCGAAAGCCAGGGGAGCGAACGGG
rnacentral:rRNA from 1 species